rnacentral:rRNA from 1 species
CAGUAGCCACGGGAAUACGAAGGGGGCUAGCGUUGUUCGGAUUAACUGGGCGUAAAGGGCGCGUAGGCGGGUUUUUAAGUCAGAGGUGAAAUCCCAAGGCUCAACCUUGGAACUGCCUUUGAUACUGGAAGUCUUGAGUCCGGGAGAGGUGAGUGGAACUGCGAGUGUAGAGGUGAAAUUCGUAGAUAUUCGGAAGAACACCAGUGGCGAAGGCGACUGACUGGACAAGUAUUGACGCUGAGGUGCGAAAGCGUGGGGAGCAAACAGGAUUAGAUACCCCCGUAGUCCCUGUCUCUUAUAC